UGUGCUCAUCUUGCUGGUGCUCUUUUCUGACAACCUUUAAUUUUUUUUCUCAACCAGGAAUUUGAUUCUCAGUUGAAACAUUUGGCCAAUGGCAAAGAUACAGAAACUCAUUUGUUCUGGAGCAGAUACAUCAAAGGAAAAAAGGAACUAAAUAAAUGUGACAGUAUGGUUUAGAAAGCCCCAAAGCCGAGGAAGCAGAGAGGCGAGAUGUGAUAUGAACCACCAAUCGCCCCUCCAGUGACUAGGCCUUCUCCCUCAUCCUCAGCCCCGCCACUGUCGCUGACGCCUUCGGGAGUAGGGGAGGCAUCAGUGACGUUGCCAAC